GAAGGGGGCUAGCGUUGCUCGGAAUGACUGGGCGUAAAGGGCGCGUAGGCGGAUUGUACAGUCAGACGUGAAAUUCCUGGGCUCAACCUGGGGGCUGCGUUUGAUACGUAUAGUCUUGAGUGAGGAAGAGGGUUGUGGAAUUCCCAGUGUAGAGGUGAAAUUCGUAGAUAUUGGGAAGAACACCGGUGGCGAAGGCGGCAACCUGGUCCUUUACUGACGCUGAGGCGCGAAAGCGUGGGGAGCAAACAGGAUUAGAUACCCUGGUAGUCCACGCUGUAAACGAUGUGUGCUGGAUGUUGGGUGACUUAGUCACGCAGUGUCGUAGCUAACGCGAUAAGCACACCGCCUGGGGAGUACGGCCGCAAGGUUGAA
rnacentral:rRNA from 1 species